GGGCAUGUAGUGUAGGGGUUAUCGCGCCUCAUUCGCACGUUCAGGGUUUGGACCCUGAGUCACGUGACUUGAGGAGGUCUCCGGUUCAAUUCCGGACUUGUCCA